rnacentral:rRNA from 1 species
CCUACGGGCGGCAGUAGUGAGGAAUCUUGGUCAAUGGUCGGGAGACUGAACCAGCCAAGCCGCGUGAGGGAUGAAGGUACAGAGUAUCGUAAACCUCUUUUGUCAGGGAACAAAGGCGGGGACGCGUCCCCGGAUGAGUGUACCUGAAGCAAAAGCAUCGGCUAACUCCGUGCCAGCAGCCGCGGUAAUACGGAGGAUGCGAGCGUUAUCCGGAUUUAUUGGGUUUAAAGGGUGCGCAGGCGGUCUGUUAAGUCAGAGGUAAAAGCCCGGGGCUCAACCCCGGCCCGCCGUUGAAACUGGCAGACUCGAGUGGGAGAGAAGUAUGCGGAAUGCGCGGUGUAGCGGUGAAAUGCAUAGAUAUCGCGCAGAACGCCGAUUGCGAAGGCAGCAUGCCGGCUCCACACUGACGCUGAGGCACGAAAGCGUGGGUAUCGAACAGGAUUAGAUACCCCAGUAGUC